UGGCUCAGUUGGUAGAACAUGGUGUUUGCAACGCCAGGGUUGUGGGUUCGAUUCCCAC
rfam:Salmo salar isolate Sally breed double haploid chromosome ssa15, whole genome shotgun sequence.